AGUGAACGCUGGCGGUAGGCCUAACACAUGCAAGUCGAACGGCAGCACAGUAAGAGCUUGCUCUUACGGGUGGCGAGUGGCGGACGGGUGAGGAAUACAUCGGAAUCUACUUUUUCGUGGGGGAUAACGUAGGGAAACUUACGCUAAUACCGCAUACGACCUACGGGUGAAAGCAGGGGAUCUUCGGACCUUGCGCGAUUGAAUGAGCCGAUGUCGGAGUAGCUAGUUGGCGGGGUAAAGACCCACCAAGGCGACGAUCCGUAGCUGGUCUGAGAGGAUGAUCAGCCACACUGGAACUGAGACACGGUCCAGACUCCUACGGGAGGCAGCAGUGGGGAAUAUUGGACAAUGGGCGCAAGCCUGAUCCAGCCAGACCGCGUGGGUGAAGAAGGCCUUCGGGUUGUAAAGCCCUUUUGUUGGGAAAGAAAAGCAGCAGGUUAAUACCCCGCUGUUCUGACGGUACCCAAAGAAUAAGCACCGGCUAACUUCGUG
rnacentral:rRNA from 1 species